AUGCUUUGGCAGCACAUAUACUAAAAUUGAAAUGCAGAGAAGAUUAGCAUGAGUUCUGUUCAAGGAUGACACCAAAUUUGUGAAGCAUUCCAUAUUUAA
ensembl:snRNA U6 U6 spliceosomal RNA